CCAGACUCCUACGGGAGGCAGCAGUGGGGAAUAUUGCACAAUGGGGGAAACCCUGAUGCAGCGACGCCGCGUGAGUGAAGAAGUAAUUCGUUAUGUAAAGCUCUAUCAGCAGGGAAGAAAAUGACGGUACCUGAGUAAGAAGCCCCGGCUAACUACGUGCCAGCAGCCGCGGUAAUACGUAGGGGGCAAGCGUUAUCCGGAAUUACUGGGUGUAAAGGGAGCGUAGACGGUUAAGCAAGUCUGGAGUGAAAGGCGGGGGCCCAACCCCCGGACUGCUCUGGAAACUGUGUAACUGGAGUGCAGGAGAGGUAAGCGGAAUUCCUAGUGUAGCGGUGAAAUGCGUAGAUAUUAGGAGGAACACCAGUGGCGAAGGCGGCCUGCUGGACGACAACUGACGGUGAGGCGCGAAAGCGUGGGGAGCAAACAGGAUUAGAUACCCCUGUAGA
rnacentral:rRNA from 1 species